UACGGUUACCUUGUUACGACUUAGUCCCUGUCGCUGGAUUCACCUUCUGUCGCCACAAGCGACAUUCGGGUGCCCCCAACUUCAUUGACUUGACGGGCGGUGUGUACAAGACCUGAGAACGUAUUCACCGCGGCUUGGCUGAUCCGCGAUUACUACCAAUUCCUCGUUCAUGAGGGCGAGUUGCAGCCCUCAAUCCCCACUGAGAAGCCAUUUGAUGGGAUUAGCUCCGUCUUACGACUUGGCAACCCAUUGUCGGCCUCAUUGUAGCAUGUGUGUCGCCCUGGAUAUAAGGGCCAUGCUGACUUGACGUCGUCCCCACUUCCUCCCCGCUAAGCGGGAUAGUCCCGUAUGAAAUUCAACAUACGGCAGGGGUUGCGCUCGUUACCCCACUGAAGGGAACACCUCACGACACGAGCUGACGACAGCCAUGCAACACCUGUCCUAGCACUCUCGAAGAAAUCCCGAUCUCUCGGGACGUGCAGCUAGGAUGUCAAACCCAGGUAAGGUUCUUCGGUUCGUCUCGAAUUAAACCACAUGCUCCACUGGUUGUGCAGGUCCCCGUCAAUUCCUUUGAGUUUUAAUCUUGCGAUCGUACUCCCCAGGCGGCUCGCUUCACGCGUUAGCUUACGGGACCCAACCCGCUCUUUCC
rnacentral:rRNA from 1 species